AAGUUAUUAAUAUUAUAAAUUAUUAACAUUAUACAUUAUUAAAAUUAUACAUUAUUAAAAAUAUAACUUAUUAAAAUUCUAAAUUAAUAAUU
rnacentral:miRNA from 1 species